rnacentral:rRNA from 1 species
CAGCAGUCGCCGCGGGAAUACGUAGGGUGCAAGCGUUAAUCGGAAUUACUGGGCGUAAAGCGUGCGCAGGCGGUUAUAUAAGUCAGAUGUGAAAUCCCCGGGCUCAACCUGGGAACUGCAUUUGAGACUGUAUGGCUAGAGUGUGUCAGAGGGGGGUAGAAUUCCACGUGUAGCAGUGAAAUGCGUAGAUAUGUGGAGGAAUACCGAUGGCGAAGGCAGCCCCCUGGGAUAACACUGACGCUCAUGCACGAAAGCGUGGGGAGCAAACAGGAUUAGAUACCCGAGUAGUCCCUGUCUCUUAUAC